AGGAAGACCACUGUUAACACUGAGGAGGUGUGUCCUAGUAGGAAGACCACUGUUAACACUGAGGAGGUGUGUCCUAGUAGGAAGACCACUGUUAACACUGAGGAGGUGUGUCCUAGUAGGAAGACCACUGUUAACACUGAGGAGGUGUGUCCUAGUAGGAAGACCACUGUUAACACUGAGGAGGUGUGUCCUAGUAGGAAGACCACUGAGGUGGUGUGUCCUAUAGGAAGACCACUUAACACUGAGGAGGUGUGUCCUAGUAGGAAGACCACUGAGGUGGUGUGUCCUAGUAAGAAGACCACUUAACACUGAGGUGGUGUGUCCUAGUAGGAAGACCACUGAGGAGGUGUGUCCUAGUAGGAAGACCACUGUUAACACUGAGGAGGUGUGUCCUAGUAGGAAGACCACUGAGGUGGUGUGUCCUAUAGGAAGACCACUGUGUGCAUCUCACCCUGCAUUAAUAAAAAAAAAACACAUGAGUAUGUCUGUCUACCUCUGCUAAGCUUCCCAGUAAAGUAAUAAAAACAACCAAGCAUCCCAGAAAUGUGUUAAAAAUAGCCCGUGGUAAUAUAUGUAGCUUAAGAAACAAGGUUCAUCAAGUCAAUAAUUUGCUAGUAACAGAUUACAUUCAUAAUACCUUAGAUGAUACAGUGGUAGCAAUAGAAGGUUAUAACAUUGACAGAGAAGAUAGAAAUGCCAAAGGUGGAGGUGUUGCUGUUUGUAUUCAGAACCACAUUCCUGUGAAGAAUAGAGAGGAUCUCAUGUUAAAUACUGUUGAAGUAAUAUGGCUACAGGUUCAUCUGCCUCACCUAAAGCCCAUUCUGGUGGGAAGCUGCUAUAGACCACCAAGUGCUAACAGUCAGUAUCUGGAUAACGUGUGAAAUGCUUGAUAAUGUAUGUGACAUCAACAGAGAGGUAUAUUUUCUGGGUGAUUUAAAUAUUGACCAGCUUUCAUCAAGCUGCCCACUCAAGGAAAAGCUUUAAAGUGUAAACAGCACAGGAAUGAAAACAGCAACAUGUAUUGAUGUAUUGAUCACAUCUUUACUGAUGCUGCAGAACUCGGCUCUAAAGCAGCAUCCAGGUCCAUUGGAUGUAGUGAUCACAAUAUAGUAGCCAUAACCAGGAAAACCUAAGUUCCAAAGGCUGGAACUUAUAUAGUGUAUAAGAGGUCAUAUAAGACGUUUUGUUGUGAUUCCUAUGUUGUUGAUGUAAAUCAUAUUUGCUGGUCUGUGGUGUGUAAUGAGGAGCAACCAGACGCUGCUGGUCUGUGGUGUGUAAUGAGGAGCAACCAGACGCUGCUGGUCUGUGG
ensembl:lncRNA